UACGUAGGGUCCGAGCGUUGUCCGGAAUUAUUGGGCGUAAAGGGCUCGUAGGCGGUUUGUCGCGUCGGGAGUGAAAACACGGGGCUUAACCCCGUGCCUGCUUCCGAUACGGGCAGACUAGAGGUAUGCAGGGGAGAACGGAAUUCCUGGUGUAGCGGUGAAAUGCGCAGAUAUCAGGAGGAACACCGGUGGCGAAGGCGGUUCUCUGGGCAUUACCUGACGCUGAGGAGCGAAAGUGUGGGGGAGCGAACAGG
rnacentral:rRNA from 1 species